rnacentral:misc_RNA from 1 species
CCGGUGCUUUGAAUAUGAUACUUGAGACAAGACGCCAAAAACAGAAUCAACUACGUUAAAAUUAAAUACAGAAGAAUUCCAUUAUAGUUUAAGAGGGACUAAACUUCAAAAUACAAACUCGCUCUACAUCAGAUUUCACCUUUUGUGAAAGUUAAGUUUAUCCCGACUGAUGUUUACUUCCUAACGUGAUUAUAGACAAGCCUCAUUCCAAAUCAUAAAUCCAGAACAGGUCCAACACCAUACAAAAGAUGCAGCAAUUCAUCCAUAUUCCAUCUGAUAAACCAACUUCCAUUGACGGAAUGGUUGGAAA